AUUCGCGGCCUGGUCACACUAAGCUAGGGCUACUUUUUAUAUCAUAAGUCGAGCGUUUAGAAGUUCGGGGUGUUUAGAAUCCAUCCACUUGGUACAGUUCCCAUCGAGCUGCAAAAUGGUGGUGACCUAUUAAUAACACCCGCUCAAUUUUCCCUCGCUUUUCCAUUCAGUCUCCAACUAGCUGCAAGUAGCUCGGAUGGCCAUCGAAAGGGUAAAUUGGUGUUACAUAUAGCUUUAGAGAUCGUUUCGAAUCACAUUGAUAAUCGUUCGAAACGUUCUCCGAAGCAAAAUCAAGCAAGAGUAACGAUUUCCGCAUAGUCGAAAAUGUUUAAGUUGAAUUGUCUUACGGACAGUGAGAUGAGUACGACUAUUUGGAAAUCACAAACGAAUUGUUUUCAUGGUUGACGCGCUUGUCAAGCUACAAAACAAAAUGAAUGAUAUACAAUAUACAAUAUACAAUAUGCAAUACAAUACAAUACAAGACAAAAAAAUGUGUCUUGGAACGCAACAUUGUACAAGUCGCAAUGCAAACUGAAGUCUUAAAAGACGUGUAAAAUGUUGCAAAUUAAGCAAAUAUAUAUGCAUAUAUGGGUAACGUUUUA
rnacentral:lncRNA from 1 species